rnacentral:rRNA from 1 species
AUUGAACGCUGGCGGCCGGCUUAACACAUGCAAGUCGAGCGAGUGGCGGACGGGUGAGUAAUGUCUUGGAAACUGCCUGAUGGAGGGGGCUAACUAGUGGAAACGGUAGCUAAUACCGCAUACCAUCAGAUGUGCCCAGAUGGGAUUAGCGAGUAGGUGGGGUAAUGGCUCACCUAGUCGACGAUCCCUAGCUGGUCUGAGAGGAUGACCAGCCACACGGGAACUGAGACACGGUCCAGACUCCUACGGGAGGCAGCAGUGAGGAAUCUUGCACAAUGGGCGCAAGCCUGAUGAAGCCAUGCCGCGUGUGUGAAGAAGGCGUUCGGGUUGUAAAGCUCUUUCAGCGGGGAAGCGUUACUCGCAGAAGAAGCACCGGCUAACUCCGUGCCAGCAGCCGCGGUAAUUC